UGACGAAUAGGGGGCGGGUCGAACCGCGCAUAUGUUCGCCCGCCGUGGCGAACGCGAACAUGCUAUGUUCGCCAGGAACCGUUCGCCGGCGAACCGUUCGGUACAUCACUAGUCCCAAAUUGUGGAGCUUAACAUUGGUUGAUAUACUAAUAUAUUCCAUUGUUCACUAUAAUGAAUAGGACAGGUUUUAUCUGCACAUAUCAUUCAUGGUUAGCUUAAUUAAGUUUGUAUUUUUUUUCAGAAGCUGAUGCCCUGAAAUGCUGGCAGGGAUCCUGUACGGGAUCUCGUCCUUGUUCUACAAGAAAGAGUCAAACCUGUACAGCUAAUGCUAAUCAAUGCUUUGUUCUUCUGAAAAGUCAUCCAAUCUGUAAGUACUUUCACACUUGUCAUCCUUACAGUGUGAUGUAACCAUUCAUAUAAAUUACAAAUGUCAAAGAUGCACAAAUAGACAGCCCUUAUGUCUGUCUAGUUAGUCAGGGCUGGACUGAGGACGAAAAACAGUCUUGAAAAACAAAUCUAUACCAGCCCAAUAAUGUGUUGCAUUAUAAUAAUGUACGGAUACAGAUAAGGAAAAGAUAACUUAAAAUUAAAAACUAUUUCUCCAAAUGAAAGAUGUUUCAGUCCAACUAACUUGACAUAUUAAGGAGAGUUUAGUAAUGGGACUGAAAUGGUGAAUGCAUGCUAUUGCACAGCUGUAAAAAAUGAAGUUAUCUUGUUUAUUUUGAAGUUUUAAGAGUGAGCUCUUCACUUUUCACAAACUUGAUGAUCUCAGCCAAACCAAUGCUUUCCCAUGUGAGAGGUUAUACUGCACAUGCGUAGCAUAACGCUGCACCAAUCAGCAUCUCAUAGAGAUGUAUUGAAUCAAUGCAUUUCUAUGGAUAGCGUUCAGCACCAAUGUAAGUUGGUCUGCAACAUAUGCCAAUGGAAACGCUCAACGUAAGUGCUGUACUCAAUGCAGCACUGGACUAGGAAGCACCUCUUGUGGUCGUCUGAGUGACUGCCACUGGAGGUGUUACUAGGCAUCAAUGUGUGCGUUAUUUCUCCCCAGGCCAUAGAUCAUAGCACCGGGAAAAAUAUUUUGCGGCAAUUUAUUGCUGGUCCACGAAAGCUUUCACCUGACGGUAUACUCGGGUGAAAGCUUUCGCAGACUGGCAAUAGAUUCUUGCAGACCGGCGCCGGUCCACGGACCAGUGGUUCUAGAUCACUGCACUAUAUGGUCGCGCACCAGCAGAAGGUAUACCGGCCAGUCUAGCGCUGUUCACAGAGUGUCAUAUCAACAUAUAACAACUUUUGUGACAAUAGCCCUUUGACUCUUCUCACUAUUGUCAGGCAGAGUGUUCACAGACCGGUACAAUUUAUAAGGCUUUAUUCAUUGGCCAGCAGCACAUCAGUCUUUUCAAGUAAUGCCUGCCUUUUUUUUAAGAGCUAAGCACAGGAUCAUAUAUAAAGCUCAAGGGCUUUCAAAGAUAAACUUUAAAAAAAAUAUUUUUUUAAAUAUAAAAAUAGUGAAAAAUAUUUUAUAUAUAAACAAUAUUUCACUAUAUCAUCAAUAUAUUAAGUCUUGAAUCACUUACACUAGAGUCUGUCUCAAAGCAAAGACUUUGAGGUCCUUUGACAGAUACUAGUACAUGCAAAGAGAGAUAAUCCUAUAUUUGGCAUUAAAAUAUGCACUCAUGUUCAUUUACUGCCCGCAGAGCACACAGCCUCACAUGUCAUUAACACAUGCUAACACACACAGGUGUAGCACAUACUGACAUAAACAGGCCCACUCUCACAAAUAUAUACUAACUAACACAGACAUAUUCACCCACUGAUACUGCCAUGCUGAGGCCUACAGGUGAUUUUUCAUCUUAUAGGAGCACUGAACUUGUUCAUUGCUUGAUAGACAGACAGAUAUAUAUAUAUAGAUAUCCCACCCAUCCUUGCAUGGUGUGCAGAUCUUCUGUUAAAGGAACAUUCUCAUAAUCAGUUUUGUAGUUGAUGUGAUACAUGCAUGAUGUCAAACCAUUAUUAAAUUAAUGGACAAAAAACACAGUUUUCCUCUGAACACAUUUCACUUUAGCGAAAACCCCAUUAAGCAGAGCUAUAUUUAAUAACAUCCUGGAACUGCCCUGUAUGGGGAUUCUUACUGGUGUCCUAAUUCAGGAUUAUCCCUCUGCAACAGGGAGGUUUGAAAGUGUUAUACAUGUACAUGUCUAGUACUACAUCUAUUUAUUGAUCAAUAAUGUAUUUUCUUUCCCAUCUAGUCAUUUUUACUCGAGGAUGUGCAACAGAAGCUAACUGUAGAAUAAUGCAGAUGAGUGAACCCGCAACACGGUGUUGUACAACGGAUCACUGCAACUAACUCGCCUAAGACUUUGGAAACUGUAUGUUUAUUUACUAAUCAUACUGAAUAUUGACCAAAGUUGGUGAUUAUUAUAAAUUCUCCAGCUCACCUACUUGCUACCUACACAUUGGCUAUGUUGAUCUAAAUGUUCCAUAUUCCUUGUUCAGUACAUCACAGUUUAUUGUUUUGUGAAUAAAGACUAAAAAUUCUUUCAGAUCUACUGUGAUUUCUCUGUAUUAUGUAACACUCCGAAAUAGGCCGACAGUUUGUGUUUGCAAAUGUAGCAUGACUAUUAACUAAAGUAAUUCAAAAUCUAUGGCAUGAUCUGGAAAAAAGAGAGACAGGUUUCCAUUUUUGAAUUAUUCAAUAAAAAAUGGAAACAAAUAUUUCUAUAUAUUGAUUGUCCAAUCCAUUUCUGUUUGAUUUAGAUAAAAUUAGAAAACAUUUUAGGUUUAAGUUUUCUAAGAAUACAAAAAUAUUAUUUGCAAAAUGUUAUUCAUAUAUGUAUUGAUGUUUUUCACUGGCUAUACUUACUGCAUACUCCACCAUGCAAGGUCACUUCUGCAAUAGACAAACAAUGGAUAUUAAGACUGCUUCAAAAAAACUGUCAAAGGUAUUUGAUUUUUUUUUUAAAAGGAAAGAAAACUUCACAUUCAGGUAACCAAUAUGGGUUACAGCUCCCUGUAUGCGCUGGUCCUCCCAGCAGUGGCCAAACUGCCAAUCUGACAUGACCCGGUUACAUGAGUUGUGGCAUCCAUCCAGGCACCUGGUCAGAGAUGCCCAUCAGGUGGCCUUACGUGUGAAGGCCACCUGAUGGCCGUCCCCCAACUUUUAGGCCUCGGUUCUGCCACACUGGAUGCAUACCUUUUAUUUUCCGUUUUGUCCAUAUAAAUUAUACCAACAUUCUCUGUAUGUGAUCAAAGUAUGAUUUGUCGCCAUACUGUACAGUGCCCUUACCACCACCAGGAACUCCUCUGGGACUACAAACUUGCCCAUGACAGCCUCCAAAAAUGUCCAAUGGAGACGGUCAAAGACCUUUUCGGCGUGAAGGGAUAUGACCAAUGCCUCUCCCACGUGAAGCACAUCGAGUACUUUAUGUGUGUUUUCCGAUCCUUUCCUCUCAGCCACAAAUCCCACCUGAUCCGAGUGUGUGAUAUGGGGAAAAAUUGUGCCUAUCUUUGAUCUAUUUUUAAUGAUCUAAACUCUUUUACUACUGUCUCAAAGACGUUAAUAUAGACCCCUACGUAUUGUGUGGACAGAAGACAGAUUUUGGGUGAAGGUCUGUAUGCUUAUAGUCACCUACAUCCUGUUUGUUGGUAUAAUUAUGUUCCUGAAAAUAUCUCUUAGAUGUAAUUUUCUGUUAAAUUUAUGUAAGUCUAUAAAGAAAUCAAAUGUACGUCCCUUUUCAUGUAGGAACAUUUCAAUUUCAUUUAUCGGUCUAUCCAACACAUUAAAAGAUUUCCUUUUUUUCUCCUUAUUCUCUCUUCUCUGUUUCUUGAUUUGCCUUCUUUUUCAGCCACCACUCACACAACACUCACCAGCACAUACAGACACACUAAGGCUCUGUAGCGUUACUUACCUUAUCCAGGGGCCGGCCGCGGUCCUCUCUUCGAGCCGCGCGCGGUCCUGCUGCUGCACGAGCCGCGCGUGGCUCAUCCGACGGCUUCACUAGGAAGGCGGGCAGUGACCGCAGGAAGCGGUCACGUGUCCCGCCUGAAUCUAAGAGCGCGCCGCGAGUCUCGGGCGCGCUCUUAAAGAGACAGUGGGAGCCUAAAUUGUUAAAAGGCUCCCAUUGGCCCCUGGCAUGCCACACUCCCCAUACACUUACCUUUUGGGGGUGUGGAUAUGACAGGAGCCAAUCACAUUAGUUUAGAAGCUAUUUAAACUUACCUCUCCCUUUACUCCCUGCCCUAUCGUGGUUUCUGUUUCAGUUCCCUUUAGCGCUUGUUGUGUUCAGUUGUGUUUUCUCCGUAUUGACUUUGGCUUUGUUUCUGACUACAUUUUCUCUUUAUCCUUAACUGUUCUGGUUGUCGGCUUCCUGUUUACUGUGUACCAGACCCCGGCUAGUCCUAGUUUCCACUGUCUCUCUGUGUCCUUGACUUCCGAUCGUUCCUGACUCUGCCUCCUCUCAUAUACGUCGAGUCCGGCCAUUCUAAGGUCCGGUAGACGUAUCUCUCCUCUGUGUUGUCUUCUGUUUAGCUGAAUCCUGCGUGUUGGGGUAUAUUCUCGUUACAGACUCUUCUCCACAUUCAGCUCUCAGCCUCCUCCAAACCCACAACACUCAGGUACUAGACACUCAAUGAGGGACAAUACAUUACCUUUAUCAUGUUUGCAUUCCUAAGUGUCUGGUUAUGUUUCAUUCCUGCUUACCUUAGCGCAGAAGGCAAAAAUCUAGUCAUUGUUGAAAAUCUAGUCAUUGCCUCUCACACACAUAUCACUCCCACAAACCUCAUUUUACAGAACAGAGUCCAAGGCUCUACGAAUAGGCCUAACCUGAACUCUUGUCUAGUACCCUAGGCAAACAAUCUGACUCUGUGCACAAUACAAUUCCUUGAGGUGAUUAUUUGAGAGAGACAGUUUUGCAAGGAAUGGUUCCAUGAUGGGAAGACGUCGAUUGGCAAAUUGUUUUGGGACAAAGAAGGUGUUGAAUACAUUAUCUUAGACAGAUACUAUGUCAAUCUAUCUCAGAUUACUGCUUCUUUUACUAAUUUUGAUAAUGUCCAAAAUAUUUGUUUGAGAUAAAUUUUAAUUCUCAUUCUGUAAACGCAUAUCUGUUAAAUAAACACUGCUUAUUGUUUCCUUAUUGUUACUUUCAUGCAAGGGUGUUCAUCAGCAUUUGACUGUCUUGCAAUGCAGUCAUUUGAACCUGAC